GGAACACAUUUAAUCUUCCGUAGGCAUCUUCCAGGGAUUAUCACAGACUAUAAGCGCCGAUUCUGGACCAUUUUGAACGGUUCCACUCACGAUAAACACCUGUAUUAGCUUUUACUAAGGAUUUGAUGAAGAGUGUUUUCUGUCUUGAAACACCCUAAUUGGUGACUCACGCUGAGGAAGAGAUGACAUCCCUGAUGCACGCCAAAACUAAACAUGGCAUCCCUUGUGUACCCCAGCA